rnacentral:rRNA from 1 species
AUUGAACGCUGGCGGCAGGCCUAACACAUGCAAGUCGAGCGAGCGGCGGACGGGUGAGUAAUGUCUGGGAAACUGCCUGAUGGAGGGGGAUAACUACUGGAAACGGUAGCUAAUUCCGCAUACCAUUUGAUUUUCCCAGAUGGGUUUAGCUAGUAGGUGGGGUAACGGCUCACCUAGGCGACGAUCCCUAGCUGGUCUGCGAGGAUGACCAGCCACACUGGAACUGGGACACGGUCCAGACUCCUACGGGAGGCAGCAGUGGGGAAUAUUGCACAAUGGGCGCAAGCCUGAUGCAGCCAUGCCGCGUGUGUGAAGAAGGCCUUCGGGUUGUAAAGCACUUUCAGCGGGGAGGCGUUACCCGCAGAAGAAGCACCGGCUAACUCCGUGCCAGCAGCCGCGGUAAUUC